ACUAUAUUGUCGAUAAUUAAUCUGCCGGAUAUAAAUAUGUAUCAAAACAGGCAGGCUACUGACGUUUCUUGAGGCCUUGGUCUAAAAAAAAAUAAAAAUAAUAAGAAUAUAGCCACACGUGUGAGUACUGACCUUUGUAUUCCUUGAACCCUCACAUUUCUGAAACGCAAUUUGUGAGCUCUUCCUUCGAUUUCUCUCUACUCACUCUUCAAGGCAAAAUCAAGCUCCUGGCAAGGAAAAAGAAGAUUAACUUUAGAAAUGAAUUCAGUAGCAAAGAAUGUAUGCAACAUCUUCAGGAACCUUAAUUUUGGUGGAAAUAAUCCAAGUCCAUUGUUGAGUUCACUUCAACAAUGGAGAGGAAUCAAAGUUAGAGUAAGAGGUGGAAAUGUAGAACAAGCUUUACAGAUUAUGCAGAGAAAAAUGACAUCAACUGGGAUGGAGAGAUUGCUAAAGCGUCAAGGUCAGCAAACUACUCACAUUAAGAACUCAGAGAAGAAAGUAUUAGCUAGAAAGAAUCUCGAUCGCAGACUUAAAUCACAAGAUUUAGCUCGCAAACUGAACUUCAUCCUUCUCAAGAAAAUCAGAUCGAGCGAUUGAAUGGAGGAUAUGUUGAAGAGUACAAUCGAAGGUGCUGAAUUCUUGAAUCAAGUUGGGUGUACAGAAAUUCCACCGUUUUUCCUUCUCUGUGAUUGCUCUGAGAAGAGUUUUACUGUCUUGAAUUAUCCAAGUAUUUGUUCAGAGUUAUUAAUUUUUAGACGUUACGAAUAAUUGUUUAAAGAUUUUCACUUUCUUGAGCUCUGUGGAAAUGGAAUAUUCCUGGUGUUCAAAAAUUUAUAGUUUUUGUUUCGCCUUUUC